CCCCCCCCCCCCCCGUUCUCUUCUCUUUUCCUUUCUCUCUUCUCUUCUCCCUUCCGUUUUCUUCCCGUCGCAGCCCAGCCGCAACCGCCGCCGAUCCCUUCUCCCUUCUCUUCCGUUCGCAGCAGCCGUCGGCCGCCGCGUCUCCCCUACUGAAGCCGAGCGCCGCGACCCUUCUCCUCUUCUCUUCCGUUCGCAGCAGCCGUCGGCCGCCGCGUGACCGCUGCCCAGUCCAGAUCUGCGUCCCAGCCGCAGCCCAGCCGCCCCACCCGUCUUCUUCUCCUUUCCGUUCGCAGCAACCGGUUCCAUUCCGUUCUCCAUCUCCGUUCGCGAAGCAGUCCGCCGCAGCCCAAGCCCAGAUCUGCAGACCGCGCCGUUGCUCUUCCGCCGCUGCCCAGCCGUCUCCGCCGGUUCUGUCUCCGUCGAAGCCAAGGCCGCCGCGUGAACCAGUAACCGCCACGCUCCCCGCUCACAACCGCCGCUCCACCUGCGAUCGACGUCGGCCGACUAGUUGCUGUAACCGUUCAGAUUUGCUGUCUGUUCGCGACGGUUUCCAUCCGUGAAGCCCAGCCGCCACGUUCCCUUUGGCCGACCGCUGACCGACCCACACUUAGGAUUUUGCUGCGAGUUUGACAGUCGUGCGUUGAGGUGUUGGGAGUAACGUUAGGCUCCCUUACAUUCACAACCAGAUUGUGAAUUGUUGAAGGUUUACGUUGAGGAAAAUAAGUCGGAUAUGUAUCGUGAAAGUAAUUGAAUUUUGUGUUUAGUGAUUAAGGAGCUUCCCUAACUUUGAGGCAAAGGUAAUAAAGGCGGCAAACCGACAAGAGGCGGGAAGGAAGCGUGACUGCCAUAGCAAACGUGUUUUUGCUUCCGCUUAUGGGUUCUUGUGAGGUUUAAGAUAAAUUGAAAUUUUGCUUACAAACGUUUGUUGUAAAUAGUAUUGUUUUUAUGUUUUCUUAAAUGUUUGAAAUUCAGGUCUGACUUAAAUAUGUUUUGAACUAGUUUAUGUUUCAUUUUAUAUUAAUCAGAGUCUUUUAUUUGUUAAAAA